rnacentral:rRNA from 1 species
UACGUAGGGUGCAAGCGUUAAUCGGAAUUACUGGGCGUAAAGCGUGCGCAGGCGGUUUUGUAAGACAGUGGUGAAAUCCCCGGGCUCAACCUGGGAACUGCCAUUGUGACUGCAAGGCUGGAGUGCGGCAGAGGGGGAUGGAAUUCCGCGUGUAGCAGUGAAAUGCGUAGAUAUGCGGAGGAACACCGAUGGCGAAGGCAAUCCCCUGGGCCUGCACUGACGCUCAUGCACGAAAGCGUGGGGAGCAAACAGGAUUAGAUACCCUGGUAGUCCACGCCCUAAACGAUGUCAACUGGUUGUUGGGAAUUUAUUUUCUCAGUAACGAAGCUAACGCGUGAAGUUGACCGCCUGGGGAGUACGGCCGCAAGGUUAAA